GGUUAAGCGACUAAGCGUACACGGUGGAUGCCCUGGCAGUCAGAGGCGAUGAAGGACGUGCUAAUCUGCGAAAAGCGUCGGUAAGGUGAUAUGAACCGUUAUAACCGGCGAUGUCCGAAUGGGGAAACCCAGUGCAAUUCGUUGCACUAUCGUUAACUGAAUACAUAGGUUAACGAGGCGAACCGGGGGAACUGAAACAUCUAAGUACCCCGAGGAAAAGAAAUCAACCGAGAUUCCCCCAGUAGCGGCGAGCGAACGGGGAGCAGCCCAGAGUCUGAAUCAGCUUGUGUGUUAGUGGAACGGUCUGGAAAGUCCGACGGUACAGGGUGAUAGUCCCGUACACCAAAAUGCACAGGCUGUGAACUCGAAGAGUAGGGCGGGACACGUGGUAUCCUGUCUGAAUAUGGGGGGACCAUCCUCCAAGGCUAAAUACUCCUGACUGACCGAUAGUGAACCAGUACCGUGAGGGAAAGGCGAAAAGAACCCCGGCGAGGGGAGUGAAAAAGAACCUGAAACCGUGUACGUACAAGCAGUGGGAGCACCUUCGGGUGUGACUGCGUACCUUUUGUAUAAUGGGUCAGCGACUUAUAUUCUGUAGCAAGGUUAACCGUAUAGGGGAGCCGCAGGGAAACCGAGUCUUAACUGGGCGUUAAGUUGCAGGGUAUAGACCCGAAACCCGGUGAUCUAGCCAUGGGCAGGUUGAAGGUUGGGUAACACUAACUGGAGGACCGAACCGACUAAUGUUGAAAAAUUAGCGGAUGACUUGUGGCUGGGGGUGAAAGGCCAAUCAAACCGGGAGAUAGCUGGUUCUCCCCGAAAGCUAUUUAGGUAGCGCCUCGUGAACUCAUCUUCGGGGGUAGAGCACUGUUUCGGCUAGGGGGUCAUCCCGACUUACCAACCCGAUGCAAACUACGAAUACCGAAGAAUGUUAUCACGGGAGACACACGGCGGGUGCUAACGUCCGUCGUGAAGAGGGAAACAACCCAGACCGCCAGCUAAGGUCCCAAAGUCAUGGUUAAGUGGGAAACGAUGUGGGAAGGCACAGACAGCCAGGAUGUUGGCUUAGAAGCAGCCAUCAUUUAAAGAAAGCGUAAUAGCUCACUGGUCGAGUCGGCCUGCGCGGAAGAUGUAACGGGGCUAAACCAUGCACCGAAGCUGCGGCAGCGACACUAUGUGUUGUUGGGUAGGGGAGCGUUCUGUAAGCCUGCGAAGGUGACCUGUGAGGGUUGCUGGAGGUAUCAGAAGUGCGAAUGCUGACAUAAGUAACGAUAAAGCGGGUGAAAAGCCCGCUCGCCGGAAGACCAAGGGUUCCUGUCCAACGUUAAUCGGGGCAGGGUGAGUCGACCCCUAAGGCGAGGCCGAAAGGCGUAGUCGAUGGGAAACAGGUUAAUAUUCCUGUACUUGGUGUUACUGCGAAGGGGGACGGAGAAGGCUAUGUUAGCCGGGCGACGGUUGUCCCGGUUUAAGCAUGUAGGCUGGUUGUCCAGGCAAAUCCGGAUAAUCAAGGCUGAGGUGUGAUGACGAGGCACUACGGUGCUGAAGUAACAAAUGCCCUGCUUCCAGGAAAAGCCUCUAAGCAUCAGGUAACAUCAAAUCGUACCCCAAACCGACACAGGUGGUCAGGUAGAGAAUACCAAGGCGCUUGAGAGAACUCGGGUGAAGGAACUAGGCAAAAUGGUGCCGUAACUUCGGGAGAAGGCACGCUGGUGUGUAGGUGAAGCCCCUGCGGGUGGAGCUGAGACCAGUCGAAGAUACCAGCUGGCUGCAACUGUUUAUUAAAAACACAGCACUGUGCAAACACGAAAGUGGACGUAUACGGUGUGACGCCUGCCCGGUGCCGGAAGGUUAAUUGAUGGGGUUAUCCGUAAGGAGAAGCUCUUGAUCGAAGCCCCGGUAAACGGCGGCCGUAACUAUAACGGUCCUAAGGUAGCGAAAUUCCUUGUCGGGUAAGUUCCGACCUGCACGAAUGGCGUAAUGAUGGCCAGGCUGUCUCCACCCGAGACUCAGUGAAAUUGAACUCGCUGUGAAGAUGCAGUGUACCCGCGGCAAGACGGAAGACCCCGUGAACCUUUACUAUAGCUUGACACUGAACAUUGAGCCUUGAUGUGUAGGAUAGGUGGGAGGCUUUGAAGCGUGGACGCCAGUCUGCGUGGAGCCAACCUUGAAAUACCACCCUUUAAUGUUUGAUGUUCUAACGUUGGCCCCUUACCGGGGUUGCGGACAGUGUCUGGUGGGUAGUUUGACUGGGGCGGUCUCCUCCCAAAGCGUAACGGAGGAGCACGAAGGUUAGCUAAUCCUGGUCGGACAUCAGGAGGUUAGUGCAAUGGCAUAAGCUAGCUUGACUGCGAGCGUGACGGCGCGAGCAGGUGCGAAAGCAGGUCAUAGUGAUCCGGUGGUUCUGAAUGGAAGGGCCAUCGCUCAACGGAUAAAAGGUACUCCGGGGAUAACAGGCUGAUACCGCCCAAGAGUUCAUAUCGACGGCGGUGUUUGGCACCUCGAUGUCGGCUCAUCACAUCCUGGGGCUGAAGUAGGUCCCAAGGGUAUGGCUGUUCGCCAUUUAAAGUGGUACGCGAGCUGGGUUUAGAACGUCGUGAGACAGUUCGGUCCCUAUCUGCCGUGGGCGCUGGAGAAUUGAGGGGGCUGCUCCUAGUACGAGAGGACCGGAGUGGACGCAUCACUGGUGUUCGGGUUGUCAUGCCAAUGGCACUGCCCGGUAGCUAAAUGCGGAAGAGAUAAGUGCUGAAAGCAUCUAAGCACGAAACUUGCCCCGAGAUGAGUUCUCCCUGAGACUUUAAGUCUCCUGAAGGAACGUUGAAGACGACGACGUUGAUAGGCCGGGUGUGUAAGCGCAGCGAUGCGUUGAGCUAACCGGUACUAAUGAACCGUGAGGCUUAACCUU
rnacentral:rRNA from 1 species